rnacentral:rRNA from 1 species
AUUGAACGCUGGCGGCAUGCCUUACACAUGCAAGUCGAACGGCAGCACGGGAGCAAUCCUGGUGGCGAGUGGCGAACGGGUGAGUAAUAUAUCGGAACGUGCCCAGUAGUGGGGGAUAGCCCGGCGAAAGCCGGAUUAAUACCGCAUACGACCUGAGAGUGAAAGCGGGGGAUCGCAAGACCUCGCGCUAUUGGAGCGGCCGAUAUCAGAUUAGCUUGUUGGUGGGGUAAAAGCCUACCAAGGCGACGAUCUGUAGCUGGUCUGAGAGGACGACCAGCCACACUGGGACUGAGACACGGCCCAGACUCCUACGGGAGGCAGCAGUGGGGAAUUUUGGACAAUGGGCGCAAGCCUGAUCCAGCCAUGCCGCGUGCGGGAAGAAGGCCUUCGGGUUGUAAACCGCUUUUGUCAGGGAAGAAACGGCUCUUGAUAAUACCGAGAGCUAAUGACGGUACCUGAAGAAUAAGCACCGGCUAACUACGUGCCAGCAGCCGCAGUAA